CGACAGUCGCUGGCGUAAGUUAGAGGAAAGUCCAUGCUCGCACGGUCUGUGAUGACCGUAGUGUUUGUGCCGGAUGAAUCAAUAAAUCCGGGCAUCUUUGGAUGACGGCUGCAAAAGUCCUAAGGAGAAAUCUACGGAACGGAGCUAUAAAAGUGCCACAGAGACGAGCUGUAUGGAAACAUGCAGGUGGAACGGGUAAACCCCGCAAGCGAGAAACCCAAAUUUGGUAGGGGAACCGGCCGGAAUGAAACGAAAGGAAGGCCGGAUAGCGAAAGCUAUAGAUAAAUGACUGUCUUAUACAGAACAUGGCUUAU
rnacentral:RNase_P_RNA from 1 species